UACUCCGCCGGCGACCGGCGCACGGGUGCGUAACGCGUAUGCAACCUACCUUUAACAGGGGCAUAACGCUGAGAAAUUGGUACUAAUUCCCCAUAACAUUCGAGAAGGCAUCUUCUUGGGUUAAAAACUCCGGUGGUUAAAGAUGGGCAUGCGUUGUAUUAGCUAGUUGGUGAGGUAACGGCUCACCAAGGCAACGAUACAUAGGGGGACUGAGAGGUUAACCCCCCACAUUGGUACUGAGACACGGACCAA
rnacentral:rRNA from 1 species